rnacentral:lncRNA from 1 species
AAGCCAAGAACUGUCGGGCGGAAGUAAGGGGGCAGCCAGUCCCAGGCAGCGGCCCGAGAUGGGGACAGGGAAACCUACUAGAAGUCGCCGCCGAGCCAGGAGGGGACGCCGGGCCUCGAUCUGGGCACCGCGGGGCUGUGUCACCCGAGCCCCACUCACCUGUCCAGGGUCUCCAUGCUGGGGUGUCGGGAACUGCCGGAAGCGCCCCCCGCAACACGAGCGGGUCUCCAGCUGGCGCCCGGUCCCGGCCCGGGGCCCGCAGCGCUUUCGCAGCCCGACGCCGCCGCUCCCGGCCUGUCCAUCACGCGUCAGGUCCGGCGGCUCCCGUGACCCCCGAUCUCCCCGACUGCGCCCCUUCCGCCCCGCUCCGACGAUCGACCACCCGCGUCAGGCGGCCG